rnacentral:rRNA from 1 species
AGUGAACGCUGGCGGUAGGCCUAACACAUGCAAGUCGAACGGCAGCACAGUAAGAGCUUGCUCUUACGGGUGGCGAGUGGCGGACGGGUGAGGAAUACAUCGGAAUCUACUUUUUCGUGGGGGAUAACGUAGGGAAACUUACGCUAAUACCGCAUACAACCUACGGGUGAAAGCAGGGGAUCUUCGGACCUUGCGCGAUUGAAUGAGCCGAUGUCGGAUUAGCUAGUUGGCGGGGUAAAGGCCCACCAAGGCGACGAUCCGUAGCUGGUCUGAGAGGAUGAUCAGCCACACUGGAACUGAGACACGGUCCAGACUCCUACGGGAGGCAGCAGUGGGGAAUAUUGGACAAUGGGCGCAAGCCUGAUCCAGCCAUACCGCGUGGGUGAAGAAGGCCUUCGGGUUGUAAAGCCCUUUUGUUGGGAAAGAAAAGCAGCAGGUUAAUACCCCGCUGUUCUGACGGUACCCAAAGGAUAAGCACCGGCUAACUUCGUG